GGAGGCGAAUGCGGUCUGGCGGCUGUUGCGGACUUCAAAUCCGGCAAAGGGCGGAAACGUCCUUGGUGAGUUCGAUUCUCACGCGCCUCCGCCA
rnacentral:tRNA from 1 species